GGAGAGAUGGUUCAGUGGUUAAGAACACUGAUUGCCCCUUCAGAGGACCCUGGUUCAAUUCCCAGUGUCUACA
rfam:Neotoma lepida isolate 417 scaffold_9480, whole genome shotgun sequence.